AAAGAUAGGAAGGGAAAGAAUAGACAGGAAAGAGAAAGGACAAAAAAAAGAGGGAGAAGAAAUGAGAUGGAAAGAGAAAAAACAAUGAGAAAAUAAAUUUAUGAAAAUUUUAAAAAUUAAAUUAUUAUAAAAUGUGCCAACGUUUCAUCAACAAACAACCGAAGUCAAGCAAGAAAUUUAGUGAUACUCAAAUCCAAGUAUAAUGAAGUUUGUCACACAAAUUGAUAUUCAUGGAUAAUAUUAUUAUAAACUAUAAUACCCAAGUUGAGGAACGAUAUGUGAAAUUUACUCAAAAUGGUACUUUCAAUCACUUCAUUUUAUUUUGCUUUUUCUGUAAAUGAAGUCCUAAGACAAGGUCAAUCCCAUUAGCUAUACCUACAUUCUCAUUCUCCCAACAUUUGAGCUAGGCCCACUUGGUAUUUAGGCACCUUCACGUCUACACCAUUAAAUAAUUCUAUAAGUUAAGAACCUUAAAAGUUCAAUUUUUCCAAACUGCAUUUUGAAGAGAUAUGAUGCAGUAAAGGAACAAUGGAUUUAAGAAUUAUUUGUAUUUGAUUUUAAUUGUAAGAAAUAAGGUCUUUUAAUUCCUAUUUUAUCAGGAAGUUUAUGUUUCUAAUAUUCAGAAAAUUUAAUUAGGAAGUAAUAUUUUAAUUAUUCAGAAUAUCUAUUAUUUAGAAUUUCCUAGUU
rnacentral:misc_RNA from 1 species